rnacentral:rRNA from 1 species
UUUUAGAGUUUGAUCCUGGCUCAGGAUGAACGCUGGCGGCAUGCCUAAUACAUGCAAGUCGAACGGGGUGCUUGCACCCAGUGGCGAACGGGUGAGUAACACGUAUCUAAUCUACCUUUUAGUGGGGGAUAACAGUUGGAAACGACUGCUAAUACCGCAUACGACGUCGAUAUGGCAUCAGAAGACGUUGAAAGGCCCGUUUGGGUCGCUAGAAGAUGAGGAUGCGGCGUAUUAGCUAGUAGGUGGGGUAAUUGCCCACCUAGGCCAUGAUACGUAGCCGAACUGAGAGGUUGAUCGGCCACAUUGGGACUGAGAUACGGCCCAGACUUCUACGGAAGGCAGCAGUAGGGAAUUUUUCACAAUGGGCGAAAGCCUGAUGAAGCAAUGCCGMGUGAGUGAUGACGGUCUUCGGAUUGUAAAGCUCUGUUGUAAGGGAAGAAAUGCAAGAAGAGGGAAUGCUGUUAGUUUGACGGUACCUUACCAGAAAACCACAACUAAAG